AAUUGUUUUAAAAUGCUGUAAUCAAUUAUUAACACACUUAUCUCCUUGAAAUGGUAAUUUGCUGAAGAAAGCAGUACCCUUUCUGAGCCCGAACAGGAGGAUUUUGGCACUACCCGAAAACACUGUUAGCAGAAAAUAUGAUGGUCUGUCUGAUAUUUCCAAAGGUUAUAACAAGUCUUGCUCAGCAGUUGUCCUCGUGGCUGUAUCAAUAAAAGGUUGUGCUUGUCAGUGUUAACAAAUCCACUGACAAAUAACAGGGCAGCGUGCCAUUUGAUUUCCAGCUAUCCAUGCAGUAAAGAUAAAGCUCUGGUCAGAACACGUUUCUGGUCUUUGGGUUAAAUUGCUGUUGCGGUGUGUCCGUUAAAGGACAGCUUGCUUCAUGAAUACAUAAGCAUUUGAGAACUUUUCUUCUCUUAUGUUAUUUUGCUUCAGGCUUUUACGUGACUUAAACAGAGAGUGACAGGAAAUUAUUUGAAAGUGAUAGAGACAAUUAAAUAUAUUGCAUGCCAGACUCAAACCGGACCACAGCUCUAUUGAGAUUAGUUCAAUCAUUUUGUAUUCAAUAGGCAAAAAAGCAUAGUUCCCGUUACCCUCCAAACCUCAACCUUAAGUAUUAAACUUCAGUGCAUAACUUGCAAAGUUUUUCUAUUAUAGACAUGAAUGAGUCGUCAAAUCAUGUGGCUUGUUGAGAGGAAGUGUGCUAUUACUUUUAAGUGAUUGCACUUGGCGGAUAAUAUCUACACUCAAACAAACAAAUAAAAAAAAUAAAUUAAAAAAAAGGUUUAAAGUGGCUUCAGAACUGGUCGAUCAUGUUUUCCCAUUAAUUUGGCAGAGCUGGAGGUGCCUUCCGAUUACAGGAUGAAAAAUAAUCAGAUUGCCACAUUUUUUCUCCCUUCCUCUCUCUGUCUCUCGUCUGUGGUUUAAUUCACAUGUAUUAAAGAAAUAUCGUCUCCUGCGAGGAAGAAGUAGAAACGUGACGCUGUCAUUCUUUACUUAAUAAACAAGCGAGUCAAGUCCUGCUUUCAGCGGGACGUUCACAGGGCAAUGCUCCAGUGCGGCGUUACAUGGAUUUAAACUGAAGAUUAAAUGCAAACUGGCAUGUCUAAGCUGUUUUUCUAGCCUCCAAUUAAUUUUCUGUCCUUGUUUCUUUGCCUUUGAGAUGAGAUGAUGCAGCUGAAGUUUCACUUUAUAAUGGUCAUUUCUACAGUGGCAGCUUAGACAAAGCUGGGUUCAAAACU
ensembl:lncRNA